rnacentral:rRNA from 1 species
GACAGAGGUGCCGAGCGUUAGGCGGAAUCACUGGGCUUAAAGCGUGUGUAGGCGGAUCUGUAAGUACCUUGUGAAAUCCCACGGCUCAACCGUGGAACUGCUUGGUAUACUGCGGGUCUUGAGCCACCUAGGGGCAAGUGGAACAAACGGUGGAGCGGUGAAAUGCGUAGAUAUCGUUUGGAACGCCAAUGGUGAAAACAGGUCGCUGGGAGUGUGCUGACGCUGAGACACGAAAGCCAGGGGAGCAAACGGG